rnacentral:misc_RNA from 1 species
AACGCAUAUUGCGCUAGAGGCUUCGGCCGAUAGCAUGUCUGCCUCAGCGUCGAUGUAUCCCUCAUCUACCCACUCCCACUUAUCUAGUGAGAGUGAGCACGAUGGACCUGGCAGUCCCGACUCUAUUCAGUUAUGGUCGGGUUUGCUGAAGCUCAGAGGCUAAUCAAGGACCGUAAUGGGCCGCAUCUAGGUAGGUAGCUUACGCUCCAUAUUUAGAUGUUGGCUUGGACUUUGGUUAUUCGCCCUCAACCAGGAACCUAUACAUCUUACAAUUUCGACCUGAGCUCAGGCAAGAACACCCGCUGAACUUAA